AUUGAACGCUGGCGGAAUGCUUUACACAUGCAAGUCGAGCGGCAGCGCGGGGCAACCUGGCGGCGAGCGGCGAACGGGUGAGUAAUGCAUCGGAACGUACCCAGUCGUGGGGGAUAACUGUCCGAAAGGACAGCUAAUACCGCAUACGUCCUGAGGGAGAAAGCGGGGGAUCGCAAGACCUCGCGCGAUUGGAGCGGCCGAUGCCGGAUUAGCUAGUUGGUAGGGUAAAGGCCUACCAAGGCGACGAUCCGUAGCUGGUCUGAGAGGAUGAUCAGCCACACUGGCACUGAGAUACGGGCCAGACUCCUACGGGAGGCAGCAGUGAGGAAUAUUGCGCAAUGGGCGAAAGCCUGACGCAGCGACGCCGCGUGGGGGAUGAAGGUUUUCGGAUUGUAAACCCCUUUCAUGAGGAAAGAUAAAGUGGGUAACCACUUAGACGGUACCUCAAGAAGAAGCCACGGCUAACUUCGUGCCAGCAGCCGCGGUAAAGUC
rnacentral:rRNA from 1 species